rnacentral:tRNA from 1 species
UGGCCUAGUGGUAAGGUUUUGGAUCGCCAAUCCGAAGACGGCGGGUUCAAUUCCCGAU